rnacentral:lncRNA from 1 species
GGUGUUCAGCACUUUGUCCUUCAGAGAAGAGUCCUGGAGGUCCCUGCAGUGAGUACAUAAACCUCAGCUUGGCAGCAGCAGACCGGCGAAGGAAAGCAGCGCAUUGGGAAUGCAAAGCGGCCGCUCUCAGCUGCACAGCCCGAUGCUGGUCUGGAAGGGGCUGGUGCUGGCUGGAGACUGACAAGAGGGACUUCUUGGCUAUUCAGUUCCCAAGAGGUAUGUUUCUCUACACAUUCACACCCUAAAACUGUCAUACACUUGGCUCUCAGUACUUCAUUCACUCCCUUGCCAGGAUCAGGGGCUGUGCAUUGCCUCUGCAGGGGCAGCUGCUGCUACAGGAUCUGCUGAGCAGCCCCAGGAACGUGCUCUGCUGUGCUGCAGGACGUGGUCCCUCUCCUGUGCUGGUGACAGCUGGCGUUACACUACAUUGUGCUUCAUAGGGGCUGAGUGACGGAGGAGCAGGGAUGGGGAAUGGGGCUGAGAUGGGUUCAGUCCCACAGUGCAGUGCCCUGAGUGCUGCCCAUGGGAUGCACACAGGCCCGGAUGGACUCAUGGGAGGAGGCAGCUGAAGCUGCCAGGCAGAGCCGCAAACCUCAGCCAAUGUAAACACACCCCAGCGCACACCACACAGUGUAAAUACUGUUUGGCAAAAGGAUUACUGGGUUUUGCUCUCUGGCAGGUAAUAAAAGUUUAAUCCAGUCCGCCAUCUGCAGUCAGGACGGGGACGGUAAGUGAGAUGCCUUAAGCUGCUGCUGGAGACGCGCACAGGAGAGGCAGUGACAGAAAGAAAGGGACAAAUGCCAUCGCCAAAUGACGCCCAUCACUGAUGGCUGCAACGCCACGCUGCUGGGGCUGAACCCAGAGCAAGAAAGCAGCAAUCGCCCAGCAGCCACGUGGGACCACGGGCUCUCUUUUGGGCACAGCGCCCACACACGGGACCCGAUGCCUCGUGCACAACGUCACUGAUCCUUCAUGGAGGGAUUUUGGAUGCUUGAUUCAAAGUGGCACCGCCACGAUGGCAGCCCGGCAGCGAAAAGGACGAGAGGAAAAGGAGCAGCUUUUCUCCCAUCGCUGUGCUUGAGGCACCCGGCUGCAGACGGAGCGGGACCACGUGCUCCUAUUGCUGACACACUUGAAGUCGAAAUACACAGUGAGUACACGUGUGCAGACAGCAUUUACUACAUCUGUACGUGCCCCGUGUAAGCACACAGCACGUGUGAGUCUCUAUUGCUCAGGUGUGUGUGCUGUGCACAGUCACACCAACACAAACCACCACGGGCAUUUCUAUGUGUGCACACACUUGCACGGGAGAAAGGAAUCUGCAGCUGAAAUCCAAC